rnacentral:rRNA from 1 species
UCCUAGUACGAGAGGACCGGAGUGGACGCAUCACUGGUGUUCGGGUUGUCAUGCCAAUGGCACUGCCCGGUAGCUAAAUGCGGAAGAGAUAAGUGCUGAAAGCAUCUAAGCACGAAACUUGCCCCGAGAUGAGUUCUCCCUGACCCUUUAAGGGUCCUGAAGGAACGUUGAAGACGACGACGUUGAUAGGCCGGGUGUGUAAGCGCAGCGAUGCGUUGAGCUAACCGGUACUAAUGAACCGUGAGG